AUUGAACGCUAGCGGCAUGCUUAACACAUGCAAGUCGAACGAGCGGCGGACGGGUGAGUAAUGUAUCGGAACCUGCCUGAUAGCGGGGGAUAACUACUCGAAACAGUAGCUAAUACCGCAUACCAUCAGAUGUGCCCAUAUGGGAUUAGCUAGUGGGUGGGGUAACGGCUCACCUAGGCUACGAUCCCUAGCUGGUCUGAGAGGAGGACCAGCCACACGGGGACUGAGACACGGCCCAGACUCCUAGGGGAGGCAGCAGUGGGGAAUAUUGCACAAUGGGCGCAAGCCUGAUGCAGCCAUGCCGCGUGUAUGAAGAAGGCCUUCGGGUUGUAAAGCACUUUCAGCGAGGAGGCGUUACUCGCAGAAGAAGCACCGGCUAACUCCGUGCCAGCAGCCGCGGUAAUAC
rnacentral:rRNA from 1 species